rnacentral:rRNA from 1 species
GAUGAACGCUGGCGGCGUGCCUAAUACAUGCAAGUCGAGCGAACAGAUGAGGAGCUUGCUCCUCUGACGUUAGCGGCGGACGGGUGAGUAACACGUGGAUAACCUACCUAUAAGACUGGGAUAACUUCGGGAAACCGGAGCUAAUACCGGAUAAUAUAUUGAACCGCAUGGUUCAAUAGUGAAAGACGGUUUUGCUGUCACUUAUAGAUGGAUCCGCGCCGCAUUAGCUAGUUGGUAAGGUAACGGCUUACCAAGGCAACGAUGCGUAGCCGACCUGCGAGGGUGAUCGGCCACACUGGAACUGAGACAAGGUCCAGACUCCUACGGGAAGCAGCAGUAGGGAAUCUUCCGCAAUGGGCGAAAGCCUGACGGAGCAACGCCGCGUGAGUGAUGAAGGUCUUCGGAUCGUAAAACUCUGUUAUUAGGGAAGAACAAAUGUGUAAGUAACUAUGCACGUCUUGACGGUACCUAAUCAGAAAGCCACGGCUAACUACGUG